UACGAAGGGGGCUAGCGUUGCUCGGAAUCACUGGGCGUAAAGGGUGCGUAGGCGGGUUUUUAAGUCAGGGGUGAAAUCCUGGAGCUCAACUCCAGAACUGCCUUUGAUACUGAAGAUCUUGAGUCCGGGAGAGGUGAGUGGAACUGCGAGUAUAGAGGUGAAAUUCGUAGAUAUUCGCAAGAACACCAGUGGCGAAGGCGGCUCACUGGCCCGGUACUGACGCUGAGGUGCGAAAGCGUGGGGAGCAAACAGG
rnacentral:rRNA from 1 species